rnacentral:tRNA from 1 species
UGGACGUUAGUGGCAGUGGCCAACACGCCGGUCUGUGGCGCCGGAGACACGGGUUCGAUUCCCGUACGUUCAA